AACGAACGCUGGCGGCAUGCCUAACACAUGCAAGUCGAGCGCGUGGCUUCGGCCACGAGCGGCGCACGGGUGAGUAACGCGUGGGAACCUGCCCCGGGGUGGGGGAUAACCGGUGGAAACGCCGGCUAAUACCGCAUACGGCCUUUGGGCGAAAGAUUUAUCGCCCUGGGAGGGGCCCGCGUCCGAUUAGCUAGUUGGUGGGGUAACGGCCUACCAAGGCGACGAUCGGUAGCUGGUCUGAGAGGAUGACCAGCCACACUGGGACUGAGACACGGCCCAGACUCCUACGGGAGGCAGCAGUGGGGAAUAUUGGACAAUGGGGGCAACCCUGAUCCAGCAAUGCCGCGUGAGUGAUGAAGGCCUUAGGGUUGUAAAGCUCUUUCGGCGGGGACGAUGAUGACGGUACCCGCAGAAGAAGCCCCGGCUAACUUCGUGCCAGCCGCCGCCGUAACAC
rnacentral:rRNA from 1 species